rnacentral:tRNA from 1 species
CAAAAAAUAGUUUAAUUAAAAUUUUAACUUUGGAAGUUAUAGACGGGAAAACCCCUUUUUUGA